rnacentral:rRNA from 1 species
AUGCAUGUCUAAGUAUAAGCACUUUAUACUGUGAAACUGCGAAUGGCUCAUUAAAUCAGUUAUCGUUUAUUUGAUAGUACCUUACUACAUGGAUACCUGUGGUAAUUCUAGAGCUAAUACAUGCUACACACCCCGACUUCAGGAAGGGGUGUAUUUAUUAGAUAAAAAACCAACGCCCUUCGGGGCUCCUUGGUGAAUCAUAAUAACUUAACGAAUCGCAUGGCCUUGCGCCGGCGAUGGUUCAUUCAAAUUUCUGCCCUAUCAACUUUCGAUGGUAGGAUAGUGGCCUACCAUGGUGGCAACGGGUAACGGGGAAUUAGGGUUCGAUUCCGGAGAGGGAGCCUGAGAAACGGCUACCACAUCCAAGGAAGGCAGCAGGCGCGCAAAUUACCCAAUCCCGAUACGGGGAGGUAGUGACAAUAAAUACUGAUACGGGGCUCUUUCGGGUCUCGUAAUUGGAAUGAGAACAAUUUAAAUCCCUUAACGAGGAACAAUUGGAGGGCAAGUCUGGUGCCAGCAGCCGCGGUAAUUCCAGCUCCAAUAGCGUAUAUUAAAGUUGUUGCAGUUAAAAAGCUCGUAGUUGAACCUUGGGCCUGGCUGGCCGGUCCGCCUCACCGCGAGUACUGGUCCGGCUGGGCCUUUCCUUCUGGGGAACCUCAUGGCCUUCACUGGCUGUGGGGGGAACCAGGACUUUUACUGUGAAAAAAUUAGAGUGUUCAAAGCAGGCCUUUGCUCGAAUACAUUAGCAUGGAAUAAUAGAAUAGGACGUGCGGUUCUAUUUUGUUGGUUUCUAGGACCGCCGUAAUGAUUAAUAGGGAUAGUCGGGGGCGUCAGUAUUCAGCUGUCAGAGGUGAAAUUCUUGGAUUUGCUGAAGACUAACUACUGCGAAAGCAUUCGCCAAGGAUGUUUUCAUUAAUCAGGGAACGAAAGUUAGGGGAUCGAAGACGAUCAGAUACCGUCGUAGUCUUAACCAUAAACUAUGCCGACUAGGGAUCGGACGGGAUUCUAUGAUGACCCGUUCGGCACCUUACGAGAAAUCAAAGUUUUUGGGAUCUGGGGGGAGUUUGGUCGCAAGGCUGAAACUUAAAGAUAUUAACGGA